rnacentral:rRNA from 1 species
CUUGACGACCAUAGAGCGUUGGAACCACCUGAUCCCAUCCCGAACUCAGUAGUGAAACGACGC